CUUAGUCGUGUGUACAUCAUUGGGAAUGGAGGGAAAUAAAUGACUGGAUGGUCGCUGCUUUUUAAGUUUCAAAUUGACAUUCCAGACAAGCGGUGCCUGAGCCCGUGCCUGUCUUCAGAUCUUCACAGCACAGUUCCUGGGAAGGUGGAGCCACCAGCCUCUCCUUGCCCUAGCAGAUGCUAAUCCAGCGUGCGUCCUGACAGAGGUUGAAGGGGGCUUCUCAAGUCCCAGGUCCAGCUUGGUGUGGUUCAGCUACUCAAGAGACAUCUGCUGCUAAUGGAUGAGCAGUCAACCUGGACGCAGGAAAUCAUUUUUUAUUUGGGGCAAAGAGGCAGAGGAAUGGAGCUCAGAGCUUUUAGAGAAUAUGGGCCAGAAACAGGAAGGAGUCAGGACCUGAUAACGGGAACCAGCGGACAGUGAACGCAGUGGAGGGCCACUGGGGCCGGAGCAGCCGAGAGAUUUCAGGAGAAUAACUGGGAGAUGAAACAGGAAGCUCUAUGACACACUUGAUCGAAUAUGACAGACACCGAAAAUCACGACUCAGCCCCCUCCAGCACCUCUACCUGUUGCCCGCCGAUCACAGCCGGAAUGCAGCUGAAAGAUUCCCUGGGGCCUGGUUCCAACCGCCCACUGUGGACUCUGAGGCCUCUGCAUUUGCGGGUGGUCUGCCUGUGA
ensembl:lncRNA CYTOR cytoskeleton regulator RNA